CCCUCGUUAUCGUACGAAUAUUGAUUUUGAUAUAUUUCAAAAGGCCAUUAGUAAAUGAUGCAUGCUUUAUAUUGCAUCGGAUUUGGUUUCUAACAUGAGGUCAAAUACGGACGAUGAUGUGAUGAUGUUUUAAUAAUUGAAUCGAAAGAUCUGAAAACAGUUUUACAUCUGGUAUUGUGUGGAUUGGACUUUGUAACGUGGUUGUCAUAUUUUGCCGGAUAAAAUGUCUGAAUUUGAAAUCAUGAGGCAACGCACGAAUGAUUUGAAUAGUGAAAAAGUUUUUCAGCUAUAAACAAGCAUUUUUGCAAUGUUGGCUCGCUUCAAAUUGUAAAAAUAUUGCACCUUUCUUUAUUUUGUUUUACACAAAAGGACCCAAUAUGUUAGCAUGAAAAUAAACCCACACUUCUAUUUUUAUGUAAAACAGAAAUGGCCGACUGAACAGGUCAUUUCCUUCAUAUGCAAAAUAUAAAUAUUCCAGUAUCAUUCACGUGUUCAUAGCCUUUUGCAUUCAACCGCAUGUCACAACCUGUUCUUUUGAACUAC